rnacentral:tRNA from 2 species
GGGCCUGUAGCUCAGGUGGUUAGAGCGCACGCCUGAUAAGCGUGAGGUCGGAGGUUCGACUCCUCCCAGGCCCA